rnacentral:rRNA from 1 species
UACGUAGGUGACAAGCGUUGUCCGGAUUUACUGGGCGUAAAGAGCGCGCAGGCGGUCGAUCAAGUCGAGUGUGAAAGCCCCCGGCUCAACUGGGGAGGGUCAUUCGAUACUGAUCGACUCGAAGGCAGGAGAGGGUAGUGGAAUUCCCGGUGUAGUGGUGAAAUGCGUAGAUAUCAGGAGGAACACCGGCGGUGUAGACGGCUCUCUGGACCGUUACUGACGCUGAGGUACGAAAGCGUGGGUAGCAAACAGG